UACAGAGGGUGCAAGCGUUGUUCGGAAUUAUUGGGCGUAAAGGGCGCGUAGGCGGUGCCACAAGUCACCUGUGAAAUCUCCGGGCUUAACUCGGAGCCUGCAGGCGAAACUGUGGUGCUGGAGUGUGGGAGAGGUGCGUGGAAUUCCCGGUGUAGCGGUGAAAUGCGUAGAUAUCAAGUGGAACACCAGUGGCGAAGGCGAGUCCCUGGACACUUCCUGACACUGAGGCACGAAAGCCUAGGGGAGCAAACAGG
rnacentral:rRNA from 1 species